ACAAACUUGGUCAUUUAGAGGAAGUAAAAGUCGUAACAAGGUUUCCGUAGGUGAACCUGCGGAAGGAUCAUUAACAAAUCUCCGUGCACAGCACUUGCUUCACCGUAGUGCUGUGCAUAACAUGAGCUCGAAUGCGCUUUGCCGGCUUGGCGACAGCGUCAUUCAGAGACAUUUGCCCGCUUGUCGUGUUUGACUGUUGUUGGUAAUAAUAAACAGAAACUUUUAACAAUGGAUCUCUUGGCUCUUGCAUCGAUGAAGAACGCAGC
rnacentral:misc_RNA from 1 species